UCUUUGUUAGAAGAUACAAAGCUAAAAACUCAUACGGACUUCGGCUAAGCCAUUCAUGUUUUGAGAAGCAAUAGGAAGCUUGGUUAUUUUUUUGGAGUCAAAUAUGACUGAUGUCAUGUGUAUGAUUGAGUAUAAGAAGUAGAACCGCAACCGAUUCCCAAAAGCUAAAGUAAUGUUUCCUUGUUUGAAGAUACAAAGUCAAAGACUCAUACGGACUUCGGCUACACCAUCAAAACUUUGUGAGGCAAUAAGAAGCUUCGUU
rnacentral:sRNA from 1 species